AUUGAACGCUGGCGGAAUGCUUUACACAUGCAAGUCGAACGGUAGAGGGGGCAACCCCUUGAGAGUGGCGAACGGGUGAGUAAUGUAUCGGAACGUGCCCAGUCGUGGGGGAUAACGUAGUGAAAAUUACGCUAAUACCGCAUACGAUCUAUGGAUGAAAGCGGGGGAUCGCAAGACCUCGCGCGAUUGGAGCGGCCGAUAUCAGAUUAGGUAGUUGGUGGGGUAAAGGCUCACCAAGCCAACGAUCUGUAGCUGGUCUGAGAGGACGACCAGCCACACUGGAACUGAGACACGGCCCAGACUCCUACGGGAGGCAGCAGUGGGGAAUUUUGGACAAUGGGCGAAAGCCUGAUCCAGCAAUGCCGCGUGCAGGAUGAAGGCCCUCGGGUUGUAAACUGCUUUUGUACGGAACGAAAAGCCUGGGGCUAAUAUCCCCGGGUCAUGACGGUACCGUAAGAAUAAGCACCGGCUAACUACGUGCCAGCCGCCGCGGUAA
rnacentral:rRNA from 1 species